AGAUCAUGUUGAGGACAACUUCUAAGCAAGCCCUUGUACCUAUCCCAUGCUUCAUAUAAAGAAUAUCCAAUCUCUUGUUGAAAAUUAGUAAUCUUCUUUUUAAGCUU